rnacentral:tRNA from 1 species
GCUUUGGUGGUUCAGUGGUAGAAUUCUUGCCUUCCAUACAGGAGACCUGGGUUCCAUUCCUGGUCAAUGAA